GUGAAAUCAUAGUACCGGUGAAGAUGCCGGUUACCCGCGACAGGACGGAAAGACCCCGUGGAGCUUUACUGUAGCCUGAUAUUGAAAUUCGGUACAGUUUGUACAGGAUAGGUAGGAGCCUUAGAAGCGUGAGCGCUAGCUUACGUGGAGGCAUUGGUGGGAUACUACCCUAAUUGUAUUGGAUUUCUAACCCGCAGCACUUAUCGUGCUGGGAGACAGUGUCAGGCGGGCAGUUUGACUGGGGCGGUCGCCUCCUAAAGAGUAACGGAGGCGCUCAAAGGUUCCCUCAGAAUGGUUGGAAAUCAUUCAUAGAGUGUAAAGGCAUAAGGGAGCUUGACUGCGAGACCUACAAGUCGAGCAGGGUCGAAAGACGGACUUAGUGAUCCGGUGGUUCCGCAUGGAAGGGCCAUCGCUCAACGGAUAAAAGCUACCCCGGGGAUAACAGGCUUAUCUCCCCCAAGAGUUCACAUCGACGGGGAGGUUUGGCACCUCGAUGUCGGCUCAUCGCAUCCUGGGGCUGUAGUCGGUCCCAAGGGUUGGGCUGUUCGCCCAUUAAAGCGGUACGCGAGCUGGGUUCAGAACGUCGUGAGACAGUUCGGUCCCUAUCCGUCGUGGGCGUAGGAAAUUUGAGAGGAGCUGUCCUUAGUACGAGAGGACCGGGAUGGACAUACCUCUGGUGUACCAGUUGUCGUGCCAACGGCAUAGCUGGGUAGCUAUGUAUGGACGGGAUAAGUGCUGAAAGCAUCUAAGCAUGAAGCCCCCCUCGAGAUGAGAUUUCCCAACUUCGGUUAUAAGAUCCCUCAAAGAUGAUGAGGUGAAU
rnacentral:rRNA from 1 species